rnacentral:misc_RNA from 1 species
UGCAUGAGGCAACGCCUUUUCCCGACCCCCCCCCAACCCCCUCCACAGAAGCAGUCAAGAAAUACGGGCACACAGACUGAAAGACGCGGUCACGCGCAAGCAGUAUACACACACACACAUCUACACGUGCACGUACGUUUGCCAACCCAGUCACGCAAGAUCGACCGCCACCUCUCUUCUCUCUCCCUAUCUUCACCUUUGCAUAUAUCACACACCCUCCACCUCUCCUCCUCUCGCUCUCCCCUCUGUUUCGGCCGUCUUUUGUUGUUGUUCUUUUCCCUGCCUGUUCUUGCUCAGUCCUCCUCGGUUCCCCUUUCUACUCGUCUCCCGCUGACCAUUCAGGCCGCUGAUACGUACAACGAACACACAAAAAGAACGACACCAGCAAACAUACGUGUGUGCAUCUCACGUGUGCAUUUCUGUCUUUCUGGUUUACAACAUCCUCAAACUUGGCAAGCAAACCUCAAGGAAAAAGGCGAGAAGGGCAACGGCAAGGUUUUUUUCGCUGGGAAAACAAAAGUAUUCAUUCUUUUUGUGUUGUUCGUGAAGCAAACAGCCGAAGCGGCGACAGCGCAUUCCACCUCAACCGCAAGGUCGCACACACACACACACAGACGAAGGAGAAGUAGAAAGAGGUCGGUAAAAAGAAAAAGGAGCAUAUCGCCAGAGAGCGUGACAGCCAGAGCAUCAAUAUACAAACUUAAAAACAAGGAAGGGGAGGUAAAAAAAGAGAAAAACAGCAACAGAAAGCAGGGACAAAACACACACACACACAGCAGGGAUUAAAACAAGAAAAAAAAACACGCGCGCAAAAAAAAAGAAGCAGCAAUUAAAAACAGAAGAAAAAAGAAGGAAAUCGUUUGUACUUGAACUGCGGAAGUCGUAGAGAAUCGCGUAGCUUUUCAGUCGCUUUUGCCUCGUAGGAGAAAGCAGGCGCCAACAAGCAUCCACACACGCCACAGCAACGCAAGAAGGUUACACUUCUCACGAUUUUUGUGCUUCUUUUUUUUUUGUUUUUCUUUCUUGUUUGUGUAGGAGUGCGUUUGUGCGUCUGUCUGCCUGCCUCCUUUGUGGUGCCUUCUCGUUUUUAAUUUUGGCUCGUACUUUGUGUGUUUGUGCUCGCUCACUCUGUUCGUCUGUCCAUUAAGUCGUUUUUGUUUCCGCCCCCUCCGUUCAUUUUACUUCGCCAUCAUCGCCUCCACCGCGUGCAGAAGUGGCCAGCUCUUUCGAAAAGGUAGUUCUCCGUUUGUUGUUUAGUGGCCUCGUUCUUGGUGUUUGCCAUUCGAAGAGUCAACACGAGCGGUUGUCUUCUCCCUCUUACUCUUUUUCUCCCUGCCUCGGCCACUGUCGCUCUUGUGGGGGGGGGGGGUGUCUCUCCUUUUUCACGGUGGCCAAACGCCAGUCGUGAAAUCCCCUUUCCUCUGCUCCCUGCGAGCCCACUGCCCUCACUCUCGCCCUUCGUGUGUUGAGUCGAUUCUGGCUCGCUUUACAUCUUCCUCCUUUCUGGCCUUGAUUUGUUUUCUUGUUGUUUCAGCGACCACGCACAUCAUAUAGAAAAGAUACGGUUUGCUUUUUUUCUCGUGGUGGUUGAUUUUCUUUUCAUCUCGUGUAUUCUGUGGGUUUUCCUUUUAGAGGCAUUGUCAUCUACCCAAUACCCCCUCUUCUCGAAUCAUCACAGUUCUUCAUCUUUUUCUCUCACUACCUGCCUUGUCCUUCUCGUUCAUCUGUUUUCUCUUUCUCGUCGUUUUUUUUCUGUGCUUUUCGCCUUCACCCCUUCCCUCGCCCUUCUUUUGAAUCGUCAAGUAACGCAAUCAAAUAACAGCACCACCUUUUCUCUCAUUGAAUAAAACUGUAGCGUGUGUGUGUGUGUGUGUGUUUGUGCGCCUAACCACUCGCUCAAAACGUUUUUCGCUCCUCUUGUCCACCUCUCUUCCUCCCCCGAUCUCUUUCCUUUUUUUUUGUAUCUUACUCUGUCUCUCCCUCUCUUCUUCGUUUUCUACCUCGUUCCUGUUUUCUCCUUGUCUUGCUCACGCUCAUUUUCUUCGGCUUUUGUCCCCCUCUUUAGGUGUUGGUGUACGUCGGUGUGUGCUUGCGUUAGGCCGCUUGAAGAAUCUCUCUUGUGGUAUUCGUUGUUUUCACGGAUUCACUGGCUGCCUGACUUUGCGUCCUCACAAGCAUCACUCCCUUUCCUUCUACCUCAUCUAUUUUUCUUUUUUUUUUGGUGAGGUGCGUGCGGGUGUGCGUCUCUGUGUCUGUGUUUGUAUUCGUGAAUGUGAAUACAUCAAAGGUACUCCUAUACGCAUAUACAGACAUCGAUUUGCGUUGUGUGUGUGUGUGUGUGUGUGUGUGUGUGUGGCUCGUUUCCUUUUCGCUCUUUUUUUUUGUGGUGGGUGCAUCUCCCUACCCCCGCGCCUCCUCGCUUUCCGGUCAAACACACACAUAAAGGAAAAACAACAACAAAGUUUCCUCUUUGCCUGCUGCCUGUGCGUCGGUGUCCGUGUCUGUGCAAAGUGUGGCUGCAGCCCCGUCCCCCUCCUCCUCCUCCUCCUCCUCCUCCUCCUCCUCCUCCUCCUCCUCCUCCUUCUCUCCCCUUUUUCCUACUCACCUUCAUCUCCUCUUCGGAUUUUUCCUUGUUGUUGUUCGUUGUGUACUGCACGCUCCGCUUACAGCCAACCCCCUGCGUUGCAGGCCACCAUUUUUCACCACCAUCACCACUCCUUUACCUGCGUGUAUCUGCUUGUCCUUGCUAUUCUUUUUCGAGGCAGAGCUUAGGUGACUGCGCCAUUACCUUCCACUGACACGCCCACGUAGAAGCGCCGCAUUCAUUUUUUCUGGAAAAGAGAAUUGACUUUACAGGAGGCGCAUCGCCGUUGUCGUUCUUUUUUUUUUCCGUGUGUGUGUGUGCUUCGUCUCGCAUGUUUUGUUUCGUUUUCUCGCCUUCGGCAUCCACACAAAUUGGCCUGCUGCAGUUCUUUGUGGGGUCUGUCUUCUGUUGGCUUUUGCGUUGAUACCUUCACACGCUCUUCUGACGCAUUUACCCUGUGUUUUUUUUGUUCUUUUUUUGUUUUUCAGUCUUCUUCAUUUUCGUUUGAACCUCUUCUGGUGCUUCCACGCUCGCGCAGCCCUUUCUUUUUUGUGUGUUUCUUACUCGGUGGGAAAAGGGGCUCUCGUUCUCUCUCGUACGUUGCUACCGAGGUUGUUGUUUUUUUCAUUUGUUGUUUUGUUAUCCGUUUUUCCCGCUGCCUUGUGUGGGCACAGAAUAAGAAAUAAAAAAAGGACUGCAGGGCACGAGAAGUACAAGGACAAAAGAAAACAACAAGUAGCACGACGAAGCUGAGCAGUAGCGACAAGAAACUCUGGAUAACAACAAAGAAAGAAACCGAACAGAGAAGCGAAGGGAUUUCGACCUCUGGACCAAUAUAUGGGCACGCGGUGUGCGUGUGCGUGUAGCAUCAUUCAGCUCCUACGAAGCAAGCACUUCUCUUCACUUCUCCCUUUAUAUAGCCAAGUACUCGUUUCUCGACUUGCUCUUCUUUGCUUUUUUGGUCUGUUUUUUUCUGUUGUUGUUGUUUUCUGUGGGUUUCCUUCCCUCCUCUUCCCCCCCUCUAUGUGUGUAGUAGUCGUGUGAAUGUAUGUGCACAAGACGUUGGUCGUUCAUUUUGAAGCACCCAAAUCAAAUCAGGUUCUAGAAGCUGGUGAAAGUGAAACGCAAUCGGCAAAGCCGCGGAGAAACCUCGACGGCCACAAGCGCAUACGUCACUUCAGCACAGCUACCUCCUUCCUGAAAGUCGCCUUCACCCGCCCCCCCCCUCCCCGUCUCUCUCAACGUUCCAUACAAACACGCAAAAGGCAGGAGCACCACCCCUUCCAACACUGCCGCGCAAACUCCACGUCAUAGGCAUCCCUCUCACUCUCUUCCGCGUUGGUGUGCCGCCGCCACUCUCCCCCUCUUUGCGCGAGCACUUGUGUGUGUGUGUGUGUGUGUACGUGGGCGCGCGUGUUUUUCCCUCCCCCGUACGCUCUGCAAAUUGUUUCUUGUUUCCCGCGUGAGCGUGUGUACCGCCAUUUUUUGCCCUUUUUCGCUCUUCGGCCCCUAUUCCUUUGCUUUUUUUGUUUCACUUUACUUCUCUCUCCUUGCUUGGCUUGUGUCUUGUCGUUUCUAUCGUGUUUUUCUUUUUUUUUUGCUUCUGUUGUGUUCCGUUUUCUUUUUUUUUGUACUAUUUCGUUUUCAGGUUUUGCGCCGCUUAUUCGUCCUCUUUUUUUCUUUGCGUUGUGGUUGCUUCAUCUUCCCUUUUUUUCGCCACCCGUGUCGUUCCUCGCGCCACACCGCCCAAACCUCCCUUCCCCACCGACUGUCCGUUUUCUUUUUUUUUUUUUCGAAUUUUGAAGCCGAGAUCAGGAAAUACGCAGCCACUAAAAAAAUAGAGGGCUGACAAUUAAACGAGGCUAAAGAGCGGGAGGGCGAAAAAAAAGACUAGUAGCGUUUCUCACGUGCUCUUCUUGUUUGUUUCGUUCCUCGUGGGUGUGCACCUCGUGUCUUCUGUGUUGCUUCGCCUCCUCCUCUCUUAUUCUUCUUUUGUUGCCCCGUUCAUUUCCUUCUUUGUGCUGUUUUCCAUCGUUUCGCUUCGUGCUUCCGUGCGCGCGCACUUUCCCUGUGAGAAGCUGUGUUCCUUAUUGUCACCCCCGCCCCCAACGCCUCCCCCUUCUCGUCCUCUAUUCCUCUCUCCCCUCUCCUGUACACAUUUCUCCCCGUUGUUUUCUCCUUGAGCCGUUUCUGUGUGUGUGUGUGCGUGUGUGUGUGUUGCAUGCCGUCCUUUGAUGCAGAGAGAGCAGUGAUCGUGGUACCAGAUAGGCAUCUUUUGUUUCUAUGCAUACGUGCGAUCACGUGUGAUUUACCUUCAUCACCGCCGUUGUUUUGCUCGCCCCUCCCGUCUCCUUCUCCUUUGCCCCACCCACCCCCACCUCCCAAUACGUCGGCGACUUGAUCGCGUUGUCACGCUGCGACUGACGCCAUCUUGGGCGUUUUUAUUUCAUCGAGGAAGCGCUAGCGUGUGUUCCACUGCACCCCUCUAUCACCAUCAUCUACGAGUCUUUUUUUUUUCGCGUUUGUGUGUGUGUGUGUACGCGGGGGAUAGCAUACGCUUCGUGCACUGCUUUGCACCUUCGCUCAAAUUUCUCGCCGAGGAAAGGAAAGGAAGCAAAAAGGGGUCAGGUGGCGGCGGGUGAAGACAAAACACCGCCAUUGGAGAAGUGGGAGCCUGAAAGGCGAACAGCAGGCAACAAGCGGCCACGCAACCUCGCUCAAGCCCCUUCCCACGGAGAAGCAUCCGGAAAGAACAAGGACGUAGCGAAGGGGAAGACACGUAAAGUGGAACAGGUGAAUGCGAUUGUGUUUUGUCUUGUGCGCCUCGUUUGAUCUUCCCUUUUUUCUGGUCUUCUUCUCGUUCUCCCCUCCGUUGGAUAACAAAGGAAGAGACGAAUUCAGCAGGCAACAAGAGAGGGAGGCAAGCUCGAUCAACCCCCCCCCAAGGAAGCGCUUGUUUUCGGCCCUGCUUUGUCAUUCCUCUAUCGAUUUUUCAGCCCCCCCCUCCACGUUCUCUGCAGUGCGGCGUUCCUUCUUUUUGUUUCAAUCUCAGAGCCUUUCUUUUUAUUGUUGUCCCGUUCUUUGUGUUGCCGCUGUCUCUUUUUACUCGUGCCAUUCUUUGAGGCACCGCCGUCUUCUUGCCUGUGUGCAUGAAUGUGCACGAGUUUCUUGAUUUCCGCUAUAGCACACUCCAGCCUCUCCCCCUUCUCUCUCCUCCACUCACUCUCCUACUUUUCCUUCAGCUCCUCAGCGAUCCUAGCGGAUCAAAGAGAAACAAAGGGUGAAGAGCGUAGACCAGGAGGCAAGAGAGUGACGAAAUCACGAGCACGGUUUUUUUUUUCACUUACGUUGACGUGUCAAACCAAAAGAGGGUAACGCGCGCGCACGCUAUCAAGCAAAAGAAACAAGCCACGGCAAUCCAAGAAUCAACUUUUUCUUCUUGUUUUAUUGAUUCAUUUUUCGCUGUAUGCACAUUGAAAAACUCAUUGCAGUCGUUUUUUCUUUUUUAUUGUCCACCCUUUUGAAAGCCUGCGGACGUCCGUUUAUUUGUGGAUUUUCAUGAUCUCUGCCCUCUCCUUUCUAACGCCACCAUCUCCGUUUUGCUCUCUCUCUGUCUCGCGAUUCUCUUGCUUCUCACCAGACACGAGCGCUUUCUGCUCCCUUUCCUCACUCCCUGCGCCACCUUGCAGUCGAUCGAGCAGCCACAGAUCCUUUCUUUUUUACCCCUCCCGCACUUCCUUGCUCUGCCCCCUGUCCUUUCUGCCUCCGCAAUCCCUUCGUCGCAGCAUCGUGACACUUCUCAGCGGUGCACGGAGCCACGUCCCUUCCUUCUGCUUUUCCCCCGUGUUCUCCCCUGCCUUCUAUCUGCCUUUUUUGUACUGGCCCUUAAGACCAUCGUCGUUGGCAGGCAGAAUCCGCUGUCGUGGCUGCGUAGCACUCCAAACGAAAACGAGGUGAGGCAUCGUCCCUUUCUUCUUUGUAGUUCCACCUCUCUGGGUCUCUCUGCGUGCGUGCAUUCGUGUAUACAGGAGACCGACGCUCUCCGUUUUUUUUCUUGGCUUUCUUUUUUGGCCGAGCUCUCUGUUACUCGGCACAAGGUAACUCUCCAAAGAGAGAUCGGUAGAGAAGGAAAAAGAGCAACAAACGAAAGAAGAGGGCGAACUAUCGAGGGAGAUUCAAGUGCGCCCGACCAUCCCCUCCCCCCCACACACAAAAGCACACACACAAACAGACCCUCAUCAAACCCUCUGCAUCUCACAUUGCCUGCUGCUGCGCGCGGCACCAUCACUGACAGCAGCGCCACAGAUCAAUUCGAGAACGUGAAACUCAUUUUAAUCUGUUUUCGCGUUUUUUUCGUUUUGUAUUUUCAGUUAUUUUUCCAGUUUUUCUCCGUUUUUGUUCCCUUGUUUUUUUUUCUUAUCAUCCUUCUUGACCUUCAGCUCCCCCUUCCUCCUUCAGUGUGACUGUGUCUUUCUCUGCAGUACCAGCCACACCCAUCCCUUAUCACUGGACUCCCCGUUGUGUUCGAGAAAAAAGCAGGAUAGGCUGUUUCGGUUCCUUUUUUCUUUCUUCCGCAUUUUUUUACCUCUCCCUCGCUUGCUUCUUUUUGUUUUUUCCUUCAACGUUUUUCUCUUGUGUGUGCACUUUUUUGGUUGCUAGCUACGUUCUUCGUCGUAUUGGUGUUUUUCGUUUCUCAUAUGUUUUUUUUUUUUUGCUUCUCUCUCACAUUUACAAGGGAAAAGGUGAUUAGAGAGGCACGCUGGUGCAUUUUUAUCGCUCUCGGCUUUGUGUGUGUGUGUGUGUUUGUCUUUGCUUAUCCCCCCCCCCCUCUCUCUCCCUGCAUUUUGCUCGCGGGACCUGGCUGUCUCUCACACUCGCUUCUCCCUUACCUGCUACCAAGUCUCGCGCACUCCCUUUCCUUCGUGUUUAUGUAGUGGUGUGCGUGCGUGACGGUGCAUUUUUUCUUUGAACAAACGUUUCUCGACUUCGUUUUGUACCGCCUCAACCGCUUUCUUUGUACAGCACUCCUUUCUUCUUCUUUUCAGUGUAUCAUCGAUUUCUGUGUUUGGUUUGUUUUUCGUUUUUUGAUUUCCUCGGGGCUUCUCGUUCGCCGAUAGUGUGUGUACGUGUUCCACACCCACCCCCGCCCUUGUGCGUGUUCUCUGCAGCGCUGCAUCGCUGUUUGGCUGACACACCACCCUUUUCCCUCCCUCUCCUCUCUUCCUGUGCAGAGCACCAGGACCCAGCUUUGCGCCCCUGCUGCUGCUGCUUCUCCCCCCCCCCUGUCCCGGCUGCGAUCUUCUCCUAUUGCACCACAUUAGAGAAGAAAACACGAAGAGACACACGCCGGCACCGCGUCACUGUCCGCGUCUGCUUGAUUCCGCUCUUCUUGCAUGGAUUGUUUUUAUGAUUAUUAUUCGCUGGUACCGUUCGUGUGCACUCAAGCGUCUUGUACGAGUUCCUCCCCCCACCUGACCGAGGAAAGCGAACAAGCAAGCGAAUACGAAACCCCAUUUAGUUUGGCUCGUUUUUUUUUGGUUGUUUCUUGUCGUUAUUGGUUGCAGCAGUCGAGCAGGAGCGAAAAGUGAAAAAAAGAGAAAACUUGUCUUCGGUUGAAUUCCCUUUUUUUUAUCUCUUUUUCGGGGAUAACUCGUCUUCUUUUUGUUGUUUGUCAUCGCUUCUGGGUUGUUAAUUUCCUUCCUUGCGUAUUCGGUCAGCACACACCUUCUGCCUCCCCUCCCCACCCCACCAUCGCUGCUUUGCACUGCUGCUUUCGCGUGCGUAAGUGCGUGUGCGCGUGGGCGGCGGCGUCUGAUUGUGUGUGCAGUCUGUUGUUUUGACUAAAUUGUUUUUUUUAUCGUGAUUCCUUUUCCCUUUCGUUUUCCCCCUUGUAAACAAAACCUUUGCAGUAUAUCAUUGGUGACGUGUGUGUGUGUGUGUACGCGCCUCCUUGUGAGACGCUUGCACGCUCGCAGCUCGCUUCGAUCCCCUUUUCCAGGGUCUUCCUCGUUCGCUCCUCCGAUUCUCUCUUUCACUCUCUUCCUCUGUCCCUCCGGCGACUUCUUUUUUGCUUUUGCGUUGUUGUUUGCCCUCCCCCACCACCCGCCAUUUGGUCGUCAUUCACCUACUUUGGUUUGUCUCAUCGUUUUCACUCGAUUGGUUCUAGGUAUUCUGUUUUUUUUUUUUGCCAGCGGCCUUGUACGCGUGCGGUCGUUGUUGUUGCUGUUGUUGCUGCCCUCUUUACAACCUACAGCGCACCUUUCGCUUACUCUUUCCUUUACGUAGCGCUCGCGUUUCUGCACGUCUUGUCGGGAAAAGUCCCUCUUGGUGUGGCGCGUCUCUCUCCAUUUUCCUGUUUUUGUUUUCUUUCUGGUCGCGGUUGUUUGUUUUGUUUUCACGGAGAACAGAUUCUUUUUUGUUGUUUCUUCGAAGAAAACACGCGUAAAGGGACGUCAGAGGCAUCCGUGACGCAACGGUGACUCUCUCCAUCUGGAAACCAAAAAAAGAAGAUAGGAAAUAUCUUACCUUUUCUGUUGUUGUUGUGCGCGAGAAAAAAGGCAAAAGGAAGGAAAGGGGAAGCGCGACUUCUUUUUCGUAGCACUGAUUGUACGUAUAAGUUUAUACGUACACACAAGAUAAGCCGACGCCGUCUGCGUCGCACAGUGUGGCACGCAUCAAAGAAAAGACGAGACGAAGCAAAGAGGAGCUAGUUGGAAAAGUCACCCCUCCUUUGUUUGUUGUGCGUGUCUUUAUCCGUGUGUGCAGUCUCGCUGUGUUUCACUCCGUGCUUGUGCCUCUCUGCCUCUGUGCAAUCACCACCAUCCCUUCCAGCAUCGCCUUCUGCAGUUGUGAGUGUGUGCCGGUCUCUAAGCGUGUUUUCUCUCUUCUCCCCCCCUCCACGCUUAUCAUCUCGUUUUUUAUUCGCGGCUGUCGUUGUCCUUGUCAUCGUCACCUUUCGAUCCUUUUUUUUUGUCUUUCUUUACUCUUCGCGCCAACAAUCUACUCUUCUCCCUUACAGCUUGCUCGUUUUUUUUUUCGCUUCGCAUUUUUUUCUGAAUUCGUGGUGAGUGACGAAAGUGUAAUCGCAGGUAUCCCUCUGCGCGCACGCGGCUUUCUCUCUCUCUGGCGCUCUCGCACGUCUUCAUUUUCUCCCGCUUUCAUCGUUUUGUCUGUUCCCUCUCCUACCAUUGUGUAGCGUAUCAACGCUUACUUUACGGUUGCCUCUCUCACUCUCUGUGUUCGCUCAUCUCUUACGUUUCGGUCUGCGGUUGUCCUUUGGUUUGGUUUACGUAUGGUAGACAGUCGUUCAAAAACACUUACUGUUGUCUCGUUUUUUUUUCUAGCUCCCUCCUUCCCUCCCUUCACGUAUCAUCUGCAGUCUUGAUCCGUGCUCUCGUGGUUGUCGUUUUUUUCGCUGCCUUUUAUCUUCUCAAUCCUACGAUCGCUGGAAUUGUCGUUUGACUAGCCGCGCCCUUGUCUACCACUGUUGUACCCUACUUUUUGUCAUUUUCUGUUUUGUUUCUGUCUGUGUGUGUGUGUGUGUGUCUGUGCGGGCGUGCGUGUGGCAAACAUCUGUGUCACGGUCAACAGCCGAUUAAGUGCCGGCAUUGGACUUGUCUUCUUCCGUGUGUUGUGGUCGUUGCUGCUGCCCUCUUUUCCUCUUCACGGCCGUCGAGCCAGGCAAGAGCGUACGGCGGAAAGUACACACAAACCUCUACCAAAGAGAUAUAAAAAAAACGUUCAUACCUAAACACAUACAUCAGCAACAUGGACUCUUCUUUGAUAGACGUGGAAUGCGAGCGGGGAAUUAUCGGCGCACCCAUGUCCUUCUCUCUGCCCCAAGUAUUCCAGAGUUGCCCCCCGGACACGUCGGUCACCGUCUCUCUCAACGCGUCGGCUGGACAGCACCAG